rnacentral:tRNA from 1 species
AGAGUUUGAUCCUGGCUCAGGACGAACGCUGGCGGCGUGCCUAAUACAUGCAAGUAGAACGCUGAAGGAGGAGCUUGCUUCUCUGGAUGAGUUGCGAACGGGUGAGUAACGCGUAGGUAACCUGCCUGGUAGCGGGGGAUAACUAUUGGAAACGAUAGCUAAUACCGCAUAAGAGUAGAUGUUGCAUGACAUUUGCUUAAAAGGUGCACUUGCAUCACUACCAGAUGGACCUGCGUUGUAUUAGCUAGUUGGUGGGGUAACGGCUCACCAAGGCGACGAUACAUAGCCGACCUGAGAGGGUGAUCGGCCACACUGGGACUGAGACACGGCCCAGACUCCUACGGGAGGCAGCAGUAGGGAAUCUUCGGCAAUGGACGGAAGUCUGACCGAGCAACGCCGCGUGAGUGAAGAAGGUUUUCGGAUCGUAAAGCUCUGUUGUAAGAGAAGAACGAGUGUGAGAGUGGAANUAUGAAGAAGUCCAAGGGACUGUUUAUAAGUGUAGAAAUGAAUAUUACCUUCAUUUAUGGGAAUUGUCGGAUUGGGACCAAGAAGGCAUGCUCUGCUUACAUGAAUUGAUUAGUAGAGAAGAAGGACUGGUAGACGAUAUUCCACGUUUAAGGAAAUAUUUCAAAACCAAGUUUCGAAAUCGAAUUUUAGACUAUAUCCGUAAGCAGGAAAGUCAGAAGCGUAGAUACGAUAAAGAACCCUAUGAAGAAGUGGGAGAGAUCAGUCAUCGUAUAAGUGAGGGGGGUCUCUGGCUAGAUGAUUAUUAUCUCUUUCAUGAAACACUAAGAGAUUAUAGAAACAAACAAAGUAAAGAGAAACAAGAAGAACUAGAACGCGUCUUAAGCAAUGAACGAUUUCGAGGGCGUCAAAGAGUAUUAAGAGACUUACGCAUUGUGUUUAAGGAGUUUACUAUCCGUACCCACUAGUAAGUCAUGCAAAAAAAAUGAAAAAAAUUAGAAAAAGUAGUUGACAAAGUUUGAAAAGACUGUAUAAUAGUAAGAGUUGAAAAUAACAACUCAGGUCCGUUGGUCAAGGGGUUAAGACACCGCCUUUUCACGGCGGUAACACGGGUUCGAAUCCCGUACGGACUAUGGUAUGUUGCGUCAGGACCACUUGAUGAAAAAAAGUUUAAAAAAACUUAAAAAUCUUCAAAAAAGUGUUGACAAGCGAAAGCAGUUGUGAUAUACUAAUAUAGUUGUCGCUUGAGAGAAGCAAGUGACAAAGACCUUUGAAAACUGAACAAGACGAACCAAUGUGCAGGGCGCUACAACAUAAGUUGUAGUACUGAACAAUGAAAAAAACAAUAAAUCUGUCAGUGACAGAAAUGAGUAAGAACUCAAACUUUUAAUGAGAGUUUGAUCCUGGCUCAGGACGAACGCUGGCGGCGUGCCUAAUACAUGCAAGUAGAACGCUGAAGGAGGAGCUUGCUUCUCUGGAUGAGUUGCGAACGGGUGAGUAACGCGUAGGUAACCUGCCUGGUAGCGGGGGAUAACUAUUGGAAACGAUAGCUAAUACCGCAUAAGAGUAGAUGUUGCAUGACAUUUGCUUAAAAGGUGCACUUGCAUCACUACCAGAUGGACCUGCGUUGUAUUAGCUAGUUGGUGGGGUAACGGCUCACCAAGGCGACGAUACAUAGCCGACCUGAGAGGGUGAUCGGCCACACUGGGACUGAGACACGGCCCAGACUCCUACGGGAGGCAGCAGUAGGGAAUCUUCGGCAAUGGACGGAAGUCUGACCGAGCAACGCCGCGUGAGUGAAGAAGGUUUUCGGAUCGUAAAGCUCUGUUGUAAGAGAAGAACGAGUGUGAGAGUGGAAAGUUCACACUGUGACGGUAUCUUACCAGAAAGGGACGGCUAACUACGUGCCAGCAGCCGCGGUAAUACGUAGGUCCCGAGCGUUGUCCGGAUUUAUUGGGCGUAAAGCGAGCGCAGGCGGUUAGAUAAGUCUGAAGUUAAAGGCUGUGGCUUAACCAUAGUAGGCUUUGGAAACUGUUUAACUUGAGUGCAAGAGGGGAGAGUGGAAUUCCAUGUGUAGCGGUGAAAUGCGUAGAUAUAUGGAGGAACACCGGUGGCGAAAGCGGCUCUCUGGCUUGUAACUGACGCUGAGGCUCGAAAGCGUGGGGAGCAAACAGGAUUAGAUACCCUGGUAGUCCACGCUGUAAACGAUGAGUGCUAGGUGUUAGACCCUUUCCGGGGUUUAGUGCCGUAGCUAACGCAUUAAGCACUCCGCCUGGGGAGUACGACCGCAAGGUUGAAACUCAAAGGAAUUGACGGGGGCCCGCACAAGCGGUGGAGCAUGUGGUUUAAUUCGAAGCAACGCGAAGAACCUUACCAGGUCUUGACAUCCCUCUGACCGCUCUAGAGAUAGAGUUUUCCUUCGGGACAGAGGUGACAGGUGGUGCAUGGUUGUCGUCAGCUCGUGUCGUGAGAUGUUGGGUUAAGUCCCGCAACGAGCGCAACCCCUAUUGUUAGUUGCCAUCAUUUAGUUGGGCACUCUAGCGAGACUGCCGGUAAUAAACCGGAGGAAGGUGGGGAUGACGUCAAAUCAUCAUGCCCCUUAUGACCUGGGCUACACACGUGCUACAAUGGCUGGUACAACGAGUCGCAAGCCGGUGACGGCAAGCUAAUCUCUUAAAGCCAGUCUCAGUUCGGAUUGUAGGCUGCAACUCGCCUACAUGAAGUCGGAAUCGCUAGUAAUCGCGGAUCAGCACGCCGCGGUGAAUACGUUCCCGGGCCUUGUACACACCGCCCGUCACACCACGAGAGUUUGUAACACCCGAAGUCGGUGAGGUAACCGUAAGGAGCCAGCCGCCUAAGGUGGGAUAGAUGAUUGGGGUGAAGUCGUAACAAGGUAGCCGUAUCGGAAGGUGCGGCUGGAUCACCU